CAGUGGCGUCUCUUGUUGGGGCUGCGGUUGUGACAGGGCCUCACUCUGCAGCUCCCCCUCUCCUCCUUUCCCUUCCUCCCCUGCUGACGGGUCCGGAGAAAGGUCAUUGCUGCAGAAAGGAGGAGAAAACGAAGAGUGAGACAAAGACAACGCGGAGGUGAGGAGGACACAGCUGGAAAAAAAACCCACAGGGUUGGUGUACAAAAGUUGGAUGGAAAAAGAAAUAGAGCAGCAACAUCUUCGGGAAAAAGAGAUGUGAAACUGACAGGCAGUUGUGACACACAGAAUCACAAACCAGGACAGUCAUGCUCAGCUCGUGUUAAUUCAAGUGGGCCCAAUGGUUAAGCUCUUCGCCUGCCACCGUGGAGGAUCCCGACUGGACCAUCCUUGGUACUCGCGGUUCUGGUGUCUGGACUCCAGUGACCUGUCCAAGACACUGAUACCCCAAACUGCUCCCCGGGCGCAUCAGCUGCCCCCGUGUGUGUCUGUUCACUGCGGUGUGUAAAAUGUAGAGAACAUUUUCUUGCUUCACCAACUAAUUAUUAUGUUCAUUUAUCAAAAAAUUCAUAAACACGUAAUUG